UAAGAACUUUCUCAAUCAAAUUUAUAGUAACAAAAAAAAUUAAUAUAAUCACCUUGCGAUGUGUAAGCGAAAAUUAUUAUUAUUACAGUCAGUUCGGGUCAUUAAGGAGCCCACGUAUUGCAAAAUUAUCUUCGAUUCAUUAUAAUUCUCACAUGAAGUCUUUACUGGAUCAUAAAAAAUAUAGUUACAUUAAAAACCUUCGUGAAUACCAAGGAUCGAUACGCUUAAUGUUCGAAACUGGCGGCGUGGGCGCGUGUGACGUCAUCAGACCAAGAGACCAACUAUGGAAAUGAGGAAUAAUUGGAGGUCUCGAACGGAACAUGAAAGCGUGACACCCGGGACUUUAAUGGAGAAUAAGUAGGAGACGUCGUGACCACGACGCGCGCACCUGACACGCGCUCACAGGACCCACACACUGUCAGGGAAGAUUCAAUUUAAAUGUAGCAAUAGUAUCCUCAUACAUAUAUUAUAUACACUCGCUUAGUAAUAACUGAAAUUAAAUUAUAUCAAGUACUAUUAUGUACACAUAUUCCAAGGAGUCCUGUGUAUGUCAAUGAGUCUCGGAUCUGUCUGGCGAGUGAGUCAGUCGCGCGCCCGGACUCAUGAUGCAGUCAGUGCUCAUUGUUUCAAUAUCAUAAUGUAACUUAUGCCGCAAAUUAUUGAUUGAAAGCUAAACGAAACGAUACGUUGGAUAGCAUUGUACGCCAACACAAUUUAUAACAUUAAUAACUUUCACAAUCAACCAUGUUUUAUAGUAUUUUGUUUUGAAUUGGAUCUUAUCCAUGAAUUUUUUACUACGUAAUAUAUACAAACAUUCUCCAGACGACCUCCAGCUCUAUAUUUGGAUUCGGAAGGUUUGAAAUAAGAUAUUACUUGGUCGUUUACUGUAAAUUAAAUUAUUUCAAGUUGUCCUUUAUAAGGAACUCUGUAUUGAGUCUCCUCCGCAAGCAAAACUCGCGUUCCUCUGUAAACCUGUUAGACAUAGUUGUUAUAAUAAAUUUAUGAAAAAUACCACCAAAUUCAUUUUCAUUUAUAACGUCUUCUUUUAUAACUGAAUUUAUAGAAAUAAUGAAAUAAAUAAAAUUGGAUUGUG